AUUGAUAUUGCCGACUGAUGUAUCUGAAUGAGAUUAAACAUGGAAGUCAAAGUAGCAAUAGGGGCACUCGGUUCAGAGACACGUAGUCAACAUAACCAAGGGACGUUGAUAAACUCGAGAAAAAUGAGGCUAAACCGCGAUAGCACAAGAUACCUGGGAUGGUUUUUGAUUUAAUCUAUAUGGCCUCUGGAUUGGACUACGGCCGAUCAGGCUGUUGGUGAGGUAAUGGCCCACCAAACCUGAAACCGGUACGGGCUCUGAGAGGAGAAGCCUGGAGAUGGGCACUGAGACAAGGGCCCAGGCCCUAUGGGGCGCAGCAGGCGGGAAAACUAUGCAAUAAGCGAAAGCUUGACAGGGUUAUUUUGAGUGAUUUCCGCUAAGGAAAUCUUUUGGCACCUCUAAAAAUGGUGCAGAAUAAGGGGUGGGCAAGCCUGGUGUCAGCCGCCGCGGUAAUACCAGCACCCCGAGUGGUCGGGACGAUUAUUGGGCCUAAAGCAUCCGUAGCCGGUUCUACAAGUCUUCCGUUAAAUCCACCUGCUUAACAGACGGGCUGCGGAGGAUACUAUAGAGCUAGGAGGCGGGAGAGGCAAGCGGUACUUAGUGGGUAGGGGUAAAAUCCGUUGAUCCAUUGAAGACCACCAGUGGCGAAGGCGGCUUGCCAGAACGCACUCGACGGUGAGGGAUGAAAGCUGGGGGAGCAAACCGGAUUAGAUACCCGGGUAGUCCCAGCUGUAAACGAUGCAGACUCGGUGAUGAAUAGGCUUCGUGCCUAUUCAGUGCCGCAGGGAAGCCGUUAAGUCUGCCGCCUGGGGAGUACGGUCGCAAGACUGAAAAUUAAAGGAAUUGGCGGGGGGCACCACAAGGGGUGAAGCCUGCGGUUCAAUUGGAGUCAACGCCGGG
rnacentral:rRNA from 1 species